rnacentral:rRNA from 1 species
GUGUAGCGGUGAAAUGCUUAGAUAUCAUGAAGAACUCCGAUCGCGAAGGCAUAUGUCCGGAGUGCAACUGACGCUGAGGCUCGAAAGUGUGGGUAUCAAACAGGAUUAGAUACCCUGGUAGUCCACACAGUAAACGAUGAAUACUCGCGGUUGGCUCGUUAGAAUCAGCCGCCAAGCGAAAGCGUUAAGUAUUCCACCUGGGGAGUACGCCGGCAACGGUGAAACUCAAAGGAAUUGACGGGGGCCCGCACAAGCGGAGGAACAUGUGGUUUAAUUCGAUGAUACGCGAGGAACCUUACCCGGGCUUGAACUGCCAGUGACUCAUGCAGAGACGCAUGUUUCUUCGGACACUGGCGGAGGUGCUGCAUGGUUGUCGUCAGCUCGUGCCGUGAGGUGUCGGCUUAAGUGCCAUAACGAGCGCAACCCUUCUCCCUGUUUGCCAUCGGGUUAAGCCGGGCACUCCAGGGACACUGCCAUCGUAAGAUGUGAGGAAGGUGGGGAUGACGUCAAAUCAGCACGGCCCUUACGUCCGGGGCUACACACGUGUUACAAUGGGCGGUACAGAAAGCAGCUACCCCGCGAGGGGAUGCCAAUCUCAAAAACCGUUCUCAGUUCGGACUGGAGUCUGCAACCCGACUCCACGAAGCUGGAUUCGCUAGUAAUCGCGCAUCAGCCAUGGCGCGGUGAAUACGUUCCCGGGCCUUGUACACACCGCCCGUCAAGCCAUGAAAGCCGGGGGUACCUGAAGGCCGUGACCGCAAGGGUCGGCCUAGGGUAAGA